rnacentral:rRNA from 1 species
CGCAUCUGUGCAUGCAGCAUAUCAAUAAGCGGAGGAAAAGAAACUAACAAGGAUUCCCCUAGUAACGGCGAGUGAAGCGGGAAGAGCUCAAAUUUGAAAUCUUAAAGGGUUUCCCUUUACGAAUUGUAGUUUAAAGAAGUGUUUUCUGUUGAGGUUUUGGUAAAAGUUCUUUGGAAUAGGACAUCAUAGAGGGUGAGAAUCCCGUAUUUGACCUUUACUUUCAACUUUGUGAUACACUUUCAAAGAGUCGGAUUGUUUGGGAAUGCAGUCCAAAAUGGGUGGUAAAUUUCAUCUAAAGCUAAAUAUUGGCGAGAGACCGAUAGCGAACAAGUACCGUGAGGGAAAGAUGAAAAGAACUUUGAAAAGAGAGUUAAACAGUACGUGAAAUUGUCAAAAGGGAAGCGUUUGACACCAGUGUUGUUUUUCUGAAAAUCAAUUAAAGAACUGUUUAUGCUAAGUUGUUUAGACUUUAUCAGCUAAUCUGUCUUAGUUUUGAGCUUUUCUUUAAUGCACUUUUCAGUUAACAAGUCAACUAUCAAUUUCUUUUGCUGUAAAAAAGCUUGAGGAAGGUGGCUUGAGAUUCGUCUUAAGUGUUUAUAGCCUCUUGCCUAUGCAGUCGGAGAGAUUGAGGUCUGCAGCGUAGAUCCUUCGGGGCUAAAUGCAUUUGUGCUAAGUUAUAGCAUUUUAUAGACAACUUGUUGACUAUGAUUUGUCUUGUAGCUUACUCGCUUAUGUUAUUUUACCUACGCUUAGGAUGUUGAGUCAUCACACAUCUCU